UUACUUACCUGGCAGAAGAGAUAGCCUUCUUUUUGGCCUUGAAUGACUUGGUGUAGAGGGUGGAUACCUGUCCAUUGCACUGCAGGCAGGCACCCCAAUGAGAGUCUCCAAAUGUAAGGAACUCAGCUACACAUUUUAUGGUGAUGGGGGAUUGCUCUUUGGCUUUCCCUCU
rnacentral:snRNA from 12 species